rnacentral:tRNA from 1 species
GCUUAGUAAACUUGGAAGGUAGUGUGUCUGCCUUGUAAGCACUAGGUCGCGGGUUCGAUUCCCACACAUGGCG